rnacentral:rRNA from 1 species
ACUCCUGCGGGAGGCAGCAGUGGGGAAUUUUGGACAAUGGGCGAAAGCCUGAUCCAGCAAUGCCGCGUGUGUGAAGAAGGCCUUCGGGUUGUAAAGCACUUUUGUCCGGAAAGAAAUCCUUGGCUCUGAUACAGUCGGGGGAUGACGGUACCGGAAGAAUAAGCACCGGCUAACUACGUGCCAGCAGCCGCGGUAAUACGUAGGGUGCGAGCGUUAAUCGGAAUUACUGGGCGUAAAGCGUGCGCAGGCGGUUUGCUAAGACCGAUGUGAAAUCCCCGGGCUCAACCUGGGAACUGCAUUGGUGACUGGCAGGCUAGAGUAUGGCAGAGGGGGGUAGAAUUCCACGUGUAGCAGUGAAAUGCGUAGAGAUGUGGAGGAAUACCGAUGGCGAAGGCAGCCCCCUGGGCCAAUACUGACGCUCAUGCACGAAAGCGUGGGGAGCAAACAGGAUUAGAAACCCUUGUAGUCCAUG